rnacentral:rRNA from 1 species
UGAUGCAGCGAUGCCGCGUGAGUGAAGAAGGCCUUUGGGUUGUAAAGCUCUUUCGUCGGGGAAGAAAAUGACUGUACCCGAAUAAGAAGGUCCGGCUAACUUCGUGCCAGCAGCCGCGGUAAUACGAAGGGACCUAGCGUAGUUCGGAAUUACUGGGCUUAAAGAGUUCGUAGGUGGUUAAAAAAGUUGGUGGUGAAAUCCCAGAGCUUAACUCUGGAACUGCCAUCAAAACUUUUUAGCUAGAGUAUGAUAGAGGAAAGCUGAAUUUCUAGUGUAGAGGUGAAAUUCGUAGAUAUUAGAAAGAAUACCAAUUGCGAAGGCAGCUUUCUGGAUCAUUACUGACACUGAGGAACGAAAGCAUGGGUAGCGAAGAGGAUUAGAUACCCUCGUAGUCCAUGCCGUAAACGAUGUGUGCUAGACGUUGGAAAUUUAUUUUCAGUGUCGCAGCGAAAGCGAUAAACACACCGCCUGGGGAGUACGACCGCAAGGUUA